rnacentral:rRNA from 1 species
UACGUAGGGUGCGAGCGUUGUCCGGAAUUAUUGGGCGUAAAGAGCUCGUAGGCGGUGUGUCACGUCGGCCGUGAAAACCUGCAGCUUAACUGUGGGCGUGCGGUCGAUACGGGCAUCACUGGAGUUCGGCAGGGGAGACUGGAAUUCCUGGUGUAGCGGUGAAAUGCGCAGAUAUCAGGAGGAGCACCGGUGGCGAAGGCGGGUCUCUGGGCCGAUACUGACGCUGGAGGAGCGAAAGCGUGGGGAGCAAACAGG